rnacentral:misc_RNA from 1 species
GAGAGGACUUACAGUGCCGGCCUACUAUCUGAUCAGUAAAACAAAAGAGUUGGCCGACUGGUAUUUGAGAAGUUCUACCGCCGAUGAAUCUGGAGUCACCAUCGCAACAACAAACGUUGAUCCAUAUUUCUCUAUUCCUGUCAUGCCGCCCAACAACUUGUAGGCGAUAUUUCUAUCUAUACUGUUGGCACUGAUCAGCUCGUCUGGGUAAAUACGGAUGAAUUAACAAAUGCAUGUCUG